rnacentral:rRNA from 1 species
AAACUGGGAUUAGAUACCCCACUAUUCUUAAGAUAUAAAUAGGUCAACACCUACCAGAGAACUACGAGCAUUAACUUAAAACUCAAAGAACUUGGCGGUGCCUCUAGACCCCUCAGGGGAACCUGUUUCGUAAUCGACAAUCCACGUUACACCUUACCUUUCUUUGCUCUCAGUAUGUAUACCGUCGUCGUCAGGUAACUUUUCAAAAUAUAGAAGUUAGCAAAAAAGAAUACUUACCUUUUACGUCAGAUCAAGGUGCAGCCAAUAGAAGGGAGAGAAUGGGUUACAAUUAAUACUUAUAAUUACGGAAAAGCUAAUGAAAAUUUCCAACUGAAGGAGGACUUGAAAGUAAGAAAUUUUUUACAAAAACUAACUGAAUCAAAUUGGCUCUGAGGCGUGCACACACCGCCCGUCACCCUC